rnacentral:rRNA from 1 species
UGCCUGCUACCAUGCAGUCGAGCGGAUGAGGGUGCUUGCACCCGGAUUCAGCGGCGGACGGGUGAGUAAAGCCUAGGAAUCUGCCUGUUAGUGGGGGAUAACGUUCCGAAAGGGACGCUAAUACCGCAUACGUCCUACGGGAGAAAGUGGGGGAUCUUCGGACCUCACGCUAACAGAUGAGCCUAGGUCGGAUUAGCUAGUUGGUGGGGUAAAGGCCCACCAAGGCGACGAUCCGUAACUGGUCUGAGAGGAUGAUCAGUCACACUGGAACUGAGACACGGUCCAGACUCCUACGGGAGGCAGCAGUGGGGAAUAUUGGACAAUGGGCGCAAGCCUGAUCCAGCCAUGCCGCGUGUGUGAAGAAGGUCUUCGGAUUGUAAAGCACUUUAAGUCGGGAGGAAGGGCUGCUGGUUAACACCCUGCAGUUUUGACGUUACCGACAGAAUAAGCACCGGCUAACUCUGUGCCAGCAGCCGCGGUAAUACAGAGGGUGCGGGCGUUAAUCGGAAUUACUGGGCGUAAAGCGCGCGUAGGCGGUUCAGCAAGUUGGAUGUGAAAUCCCUGGGCUUAACCUGGGGAACUGCAUCCAAAACUACUGAGCUAGAG